CAAAGCGAUAUUUCCAUACAUAGACUAUGUACACAUUUACUUCUAUAAAACGUUAUUUUGUCGAGAACUUUCAUAAUAACAAAGUUUCAGAGACACAACCUUGAAGAGUUUUAAGUGAAAUCCUUAAAUACUAAUCUAGUUUAUGUUAUUAUUUAAUUUAUGGUAUUUAGACUGGAUUUCAUUACAGAAAUAUUUUUUUAGUAUAAUUAUGAACAAUAAUUUAAUUUUGAUAAUAUGCGUAACCAAAUGUCUACUAAGACCAGAUGCAUGACAGAAGGCUUUAGGGCAGAGUUGACAAUGAUGCAGUUGAAUGUCAUUUGGAUCAAGUUUUUGAUGUCUUCUCAUGUGCACCUUCAAUGCUUCGCGUUGCGUGAAACUCUUUUCACAGUGUUGACAUUGAAAAGAAUACCUAUGGUGUCUGUAAUGGGUUGCAACUUCAGUGAUUCUCCUUGACCAGAACUGUUACUGGAUACUACUGUGAUCUAACGUUUCCUGUACUGCAGAUGAGAGUGAAUGAUGCAUGUAUAGCAAACGCCUGGAAAAAUUCAUAGAUGUAUAAAAAUGUUUGUACUGUUAUGUAGUACAGUAAAAGAAAUACAUAUUUUCGCAAUGUUAUGUUUCAUAACCGGUAUUCCUAUCAUUUGAAAGUAAGCAACAGAUGUUUUUCCCGCUGUGUCAUAUUAGGCAUGCCUCAGAUGAAAGCAGUAUAUAGAUGCUCUAUUUGUGCUAAUUAUGCCAGAAAUUGGUAAUUGAUCGGUAAUGUUGCAUGUGACUUUAAAAUGGUAACGAGACUCUAGAAUACCGUGGGCAUGGGACAGAAAAAUGCAUUGGAUGUUAGGUUUAUCCUACAUCUCGUCUGUGAUUCCUGUAAUGAAAGUGAAGAAGGUGGCGUCAGGGCACAAAGUCGAUAACUCGGUAAAGCCGGUAGUUGCUUUGAUCAGUGUAGUAUCAUUCCGGAUACACAUACGCGUAACCGACGCUCACAACACACACCAAACUCGAAGGAGUGGGGAGAAAGAAAGACAAUCACACAGAGAGAUAAACUAGAUUCCUAUUUUCGAUAAGCUAGUAAUAUCAAUGCCAAAUAGAGCCAAGAAACUUAGCCUUAUUACGGCCCGAUUAAAUAAAUAUUGAUACUUGCCUCCAAAUUAACACAGGCCAUUAUUCGAAGCGAUAAGGGGAUUGUUUCGUCGUCAUAAAUCGGCACCAUCUCCUCCUCCUUUGCCAGGCACAGUCGGCACAGCUCGUUCACGUGGAUAAUCACAUUGCUGGGGCUGUCGCCCUUUUUUCUGCUGUACGUUUUCAUUGCACCGUUUUAACACUAGUCGCCAAUUUAUUUAACCGUUGGCGUCGGAGAAACACUUAAGAGAGCUAGAGAACGGGACUCGGUCACUCACAACGGAAUCUAUAAUGGCGGCGGCGGUUGGCCAAUGGCAAACGCGUGGCGCUGCUGUUUGGUAAAGAUGGAGAAUGGAGUUGUGUGGAAGAGAGAAGGAUAUUUUAGUGGGACGAAAACAGGAAAGGAUUUUAGGGUCUUCAUCAUCGCAAAGUCGGUACACUAUAUUAAAAUUAGAAAUGGAGGAUAUUUCCAGUAACAGCAUUGUUUCGUAACCAUGCGUAUGGGAAUAAUUAUGUUUAUUUGCAAGACAUUGUAGAAUAUCGACUGUUCAGGAAGACAUUGCCAUCUUGUCAAGAGCAUUGUGUUCGUAGAGGUGAUUUCUUUAUAGUGAUUCGAAUAUUUAUGAAUGGAAAAGGUAAUAAUGUGAAUAUUUUUAAGAAAAUCAUUGUAAUUGACUAUCUUAGUUGUAUGGCAACUGCAAUAUAUAAUAUUUUCAGUGAGUGCAAGUAAUAGAAUGUUGACAUUCUCGUUAUCCCGCUCUUUUGGUAAGGUAUUGAACGUUGAAUUCAAUUAAUACUCAAGUCUUAGGUUUUAAUAUACAUUUAGUAUACAUUGUUUCAUACUGUGAAUUGAUUUUUACUAUAAUAUUUUAUGUCUAAGUUACUAUCAUAUUUGAUAACUAAAUGCAAUAAUAAUUGAAAUAAACAAUUAACAAUAUCUUUACCUAAUAGACAUCAACAACUAUACUAAGCAGGCAACAAUCAGUGUUUUCAGAAUUCUGGGUACAUUUUUCAGUUACAAUUUUGCUCUUUUAUAGAAAAAAUAUUAUUAAACGAUAAAUUGGAUAGGAAUAUUAUUUAUUUUUUGAAGAUCCGACUUAUCAGUUUUAUGUUUAUCAAGAUGUUCAUUUCCAUAUAUAACUGUGGGCUAUAAUUUAUAAU